UACGUAGGGUGCAAGCGUUAAUCGGAAUUACUGGGCGUAAAGCGUGCGUAGGUGGUCUGUUAAGUCUGAUGUGAAAGCCCUGGGCUCAACCUGGGAAUUGCAUUGGAUACUGGCAGGCUAGAGUGCGGUAGAGGGUAGUGGAAUUCCCGGUGUAGCAGUGAAAUGCGUAGAGAUCGGGAGGAACACCAGUGGCGAAGGCGACUACCUGGACUAGCACUGACACUGAGGCACGAAAGCGUGGGGAGCAAACAGG
rnacentral:rRNA from 1 species